GGAUUUGAGGGCAAUCUGGCUGCGGCAUCUAUCAACCCAUUGAUUGCCAGCGUUGAUUUGGCUGAUCUGGUUAGCCAGGCAGGUCUCCCUCCCUCACCGGUCCAUGUACGCCCCUCCCAAAGCUAGUUGGUCAAUGGAAGAUGACAAUGUCCCAGAUAUAGGAGUGUAUAGAUGUCUCCAGUCUUCAGUUUUGGGUAUGAAAC
rnacentral:snRNA from 1 species